rnacentral:lncRNA from 1 species
UAUCAAUUUAAUCAAAAAUUUAAAGAGGUACACAUAAUAAAUCAGCACAUGAAAAAAAGCAGUACUAUACAUGUACCGUAGUUAAAACAAGGGGUAAAAAACAGGUGUUUGGUUUAAAUUUAAGUCUAAGAAUUAAAACCCUGAUAAGCAUAGCCAUUGAACAUGUUGAAGCAGUUUUAGUUUUAUAAAAUGAUAUAAUAAAUCUAUCUCAGCAUCUGUAUAAAAAAGUGUUCACCAUGCAGUUGCGAAAAUAUUAGACCUCAGGCACCGAUUAUUUUUAAAUAACAAAAUAUACAUUUCGAUCGAGAACAAUGUCUUUCAUGAUUCUUCUAUAUACUCUUAUUUAUAUUUAUUUACUUACUUAUAUACAAUUUUGAAAUCUAAAAUGUAAAAGUGCAACAACACUUUAGAUGUAGCAUCGUACAUAUCCCCAUUUAUAUUAAGGACAAAACAAGCAAUGAUUAGUUAUUUUUUUAAGGAAAAAAAAUUGUUAUAAAAUAUUAUUAUUUUCUUCUCCCGGGCGCUAAUUUUCUUCUCCGGGCGCUAAUUUUCCUUCUCCGGGCGCUUUUUCUUUUCCCCGGGCGCUUUUUCUUUUCCCGGGCGCACCCGGGCGCUUUUUAGUAGGACCGCC